UACAGAGGAGCCAAGCGUUGUCCGGAUUGACUGGGCGUAAAGCGCACGCAGGCGGACGCGCGCGUGGGGUGUGAAAUCUGGCCGCUUAACGGCCAGGCGCCAUCCCAUACGGCGCGACUGGAGUGAUGCAGAGGUCGAUGGAAUUGCCGGUGUAGUGGUGAAAUGCGUAGAGAUCGGCAGGAACACCCAGGGGGAAACCAGUCGACUGGGCAUCUACUGACGCUGAGGCGCGAAAGCGUGGGGAGCAAACGGG
rnacentral:rRNA from 1 species